AGUAGAAAUUUGCCAAAGUAGUGU
rnacentral:miRNA from 1 species